rnacentral:rRNA from 1 species
AACGAACGCUGGCGGCAUGCCUAACACAUGCAAGUCGAACGAGACCUUCGGGUCUAGUGGCGCACGGGUGCGUAACGCGUGGGAACCUGCCCUUAGGUUCGGAAUAACUCCCCGAAAGGGGUGCUAAUACCGGAUAAUGUCUUCGGACCAAAGAUUUAUCGCCUUUGGAUGGGCCCGCGUUGGAUUAGCUAGUUGGUAGGGUAAAAGCCUACCAAGGCGACGAUCCAUAGCUGGUCUGAGAGGAUGAUCAGCCACACUGGGACUGAGACACGGCCCAGACUCCUAGAGGAGGGAGCAGUGGGGAAUAUUGGAAAAUGGGCGGAAGGCUGAUGCAGCAAUGGCGCGUGAGUGAUGAAGGCCUUAGGGUAGUAAAGCUCUUUUACCCGGGGUGAUAAUGACAGUACCGGGAGAAUAAGCACCGGCUAACUCCGUG